CCGUGCUGGGUACUGACAACCAACAGAUGGCCUGAACUUGGUUCCCACCCUUAUAGAGAGAGGGGAGAGGUGGAUGUCUACAGCACAGAAAGGCCAUCAUUAUCCCACAUGCAGACCGCACACGGAGCGCGGAAGGCCAGGAGUGGGAAGCCACUCACUCUGCCAGGAAAGUCAGGCUUCACACCGGACAGACCCUUUGGACUGGAUCUUAAAGGAUGUAUAGGAGUUUUCCAGGUGAGGAAACUGAGGCACAGAAAAGUUGUCACUUGCCUGACCUUUCACAGCUAGUAAGGAAGCUGGGAUUCCAACCCAGGCCAUGCGCAGGGAGAGCCUGCUCUGUCAGCUGCUUCCAGGCCCUGUGGACCCAGUGGCCGCGGCCCACCCUGGGGAGAGGAGGGCGGUGCUCGGGGCCUAAUGUGAAGUAAAGAAACAGCAUGAUUAUGAUGCAGCUUUACCUCGACGGGGACCCACGGCAACCCUGGGAGCCCCAGGAUGGUCACCAGUCCGCAGAAACAGAGAUGACUGUCAUCUACUACGAUCUCAAAAUUUAAAAGAUGUCCGAGCGCGCGCCACAGGCCUUUUUCACCUCUUUACACACGAAAACUAUCAAGUAUGUAACUAAGGCGAUUUCAGGGGCGACUGAAUCUGAUAAUGGACAGUGCACGUGACUCUCACUGACGGGAAUGAAAGGAAAUCGGCCCUGCCGGGGAGUCCUGGGCGUCCGCCUGGCUUCACCGGUGACCUCCUUUGAUACACGACCUUCGGAGCGCCGGCCCAGCCCUGGCCCCACCCUCCGUCUCCCCAGACGUGCCCCUCGGAGUCGGUGGCGCUGACCCUCGAGGCCAGGGCGGCUUUCCUGUGACUCCGCCCCACCCCGCCCUUGGCCACGGCUGAUUGGUCCAGGAAUGCCUACCUGAUCCAAGCGGGCCAAUCAGAUCCGUUGGGGGAUACGGACUGGCACAACUGGUUUGGGCUGGUCCCUGAACUGGUGAACUUGUUGACUAUAAAGUUAACUGCCUUUACCCUCCUUGCUGUUUGCACCAGAGGAAGGCAGCAGGAAGCUGUGCGCAGGCAAGGGAAGGGUGAGGGAGCGAUGAAGGUUUGCAGGGGAGAGUUCCGUGCCCUGCCUCCCUUACAUUCGUACUUAGGGUAAUUCCUGCUGUGUUUCAAUGCGAAUAGUACUGUUACGAAAUUACUGUUACUUGACAUCAAGUGGCCUUAUUUAAGGCUCUUGAGUUGGAAAAUGUAAAUAAAGUAUCAUAAAGCCC